AAAGAAAGGCAAGAUUGAUGGCUGAAGCAGGGUUUGCAGAUAUGUAUGCCAUUCAAACGAUGAAGCUGGGAAGAAACCGCAUUCAGAUCAUGACUAAUGGACCCACUGUGAGUUUUCUGUCGGCCUUCCUCUAUCGAUAAGAACAUGCGGGCAACGUCAGCAGAUGGAGCCAGCUGCCUCAAUACAGCUGAUGCUGCUUCCCUGAAAGACUCUGCCAUCUGCUGUUGAAAUGGCGAAAACACACUGAACCUGCAAUUCAUCUCAACAAAUUGAACUCUUCGCUGGUACAACUAUGUUAUCCACUAAGAUCAGAUGAGACUGGCAUCAGUGUUAUUUUGGUGAUGGCAGUAGUCCAUUUUUUUUUGGAAUAAUUUUGCCCAUAAUCUGGGCCAUAUUUUAUUGCAAGACAAUUCUGUAUUUCCCAAGAAAACCUUUAAUAAUUUUUUUAAAAAGAGACAAUCCCAUAUUUCCAUAAAUAUUUUACCUGCCAUUCAAUUUGCUCAAAUUUACAAGGCAGGAAAUUACAGCCAAGGGUUGUAGAACUUGAAGUCUCCCCCCCCCCCAUUGUUAUAGUUUAUAGACCUUGUUUACAGAAAUCAAACGUAGAUUGAUCAAAGCAGAGUCUGCCAGAAUGGCUAAGUGGUAUGAAAUACUUUGCUGUAGGAUGCCACAGUCUUAAAUACAGUCUAUGCAUCUUAGACCAUGGGUAGACAAACCAAGGCCCGGGCCCAGAUCUGGCCCAAUUGCCUUCUGGAUUCAGCCCGUGGACGGUCCAGGAAUCGCUGCGCAGAUUGGCGUGGGGAUUCUGAUCAUUCGGGCUUCGCCAUUCCCCCCCUCCCUUUCACACACUGCGGCAGCACCUCCUCUCUCCCUCCUCCUGGCUUCUCCCCGCCCUGUCUAGAGGAGGAAGGGGGCUGGGCUUUGUUGAGCCUUAGUUUGCUAAGCACCAUUUUAAGCAGCCCCUCUCUGGAGCCAGACCUUUCGCGCCACUCAUCAUCCCUCCGCAGGGACGUCACUCGCAGGGCACAUGUUAGCAGCCAUCGGGGCUUGUCCGGUGCUGUGGAGAAGAGAAGGGAGAGUCAAUGGGGGGAUUUCCCCCCAAAAAAUAUAGUCUGCCCCCCCACAUGGUCUGAAGGAAAGUGGACCGGCCCCCUGUGGGAAAAAUUUGCUGACCCCUGUCUUAGACAAUACAUUUUUUAUAAACAUAAUGGAGAAACCAAUGGCUUUAUUAAAGAAUGAGAGGUAUUGGGGGAAGGGACGCAAGAGAGGUAUGGGAGACUCGGGUUUCACCGGUUUGUUUCCACCUCCUUGUUUUGCAUACUCACACAGUUUUCAGCUAAACAUUUUUUUAGAUGAAAUCAUCAAACACAAAACCUCUUUUUUUCUUUCUCAUAUAAACCACAUUACCUGCCCAUCAGUAAAGAAAAGCAUACUGGGGAAUUCAAAUGGAAGUAAACACAGAGGGUAUAAAUUCUCUAAGCACAUUGUUCUGUUUAACUAUUAUUAAGAGUUUGGGUUUUUUUUAAAAAAGCAUGUUUAUUAGUAAUGAAAUCAAAAUUGCUAGGCAUCCAAACCUAAAUGAAAAGAGCUAUCUGUAAAACUGGCUAGAAAGCAAACAAUCUUCAUACUUAAGACGGUAGGAGGAGAUAGGUCAAUUACCAGUACAUGUUGGAGGGUAUGGAAUAAAAGUAAAGAUAAAGGGACCCCUGACUGUUUGGUCCAGUCGUGGACGACUCUGGGGUUGCAGCACUCAUCUCGCUUUACUGGCUGAGGGAGUCGGCAUUUGUCUGCAGACAGCUUCCAGGUCAUGUGGCCAGCAUGACAAAGCCGCUUCUGGUGAAUCAGAGCAGCGCACGGAAAUGCAGUUUACCUUCCCACCAGAGUGGUACCUAUUUAUCUACUUGCACUUGACGUGCUUUCAAACUGCUAGGUUGGCAGGAGCAGGGACCGAGCAAUGGGAGCGCACCCCAUUGCGGGGA